rnacentral:rRNA from 1 species
CCUACGGUGUGCAGCAGUGAGGAAUAUUGGUCAAUGGGCGGAAGCCUGAACCAGCCAAGUCGCGUGAGGGAAUAAGGCUCUACGGGUCGUAAACCUCUUUUGCCGGGGAGCAAGGGCGGGGACGUGUCCCGGCCCGGAGAGUACCCGGCGAACAAGCAUCGGCUAACUCCGUGCCAGCAGCCGCGGUACUAGGGAGGAUGAGAGCGUUAUCGGGCUUUAUGGGGGUUAAAGGGUGCGUAGGCGGGCAUUUAAGUCAGCGGUAAAAAUUCGGGGCACAAUCCCGUCCGGCCGGUGAAGCUGGGGGCCUUGAGUGGGCGAGAGGAAGGCGGAAUGCGUGGUGUAGCGGUGAAAUGCGUAGAGAUCACGCAGAAGCCCGAUUGCGAAGGCAGCCUGCCGGCGCCCUACUGACGCUGAGGCACGAAAGUGCGGGGAUCGAACAGGAUUAGAUACCCGGGUAGGC